rnacentral:lncRNA from 1 species
UGGACUUUGCAGGGCCUGGGCUGUUUGGCAGAUUUCGUCUGACAUCAGUGCCUGUCUGAUGGUGGUGGAGUUGGGACAAGUGGUGAUGCUGUCAGAAUUGGCAUGGAGUGUAGACUACUAAAGCUCGUAGUCCGGAGGAAGAGGAGCAGGAGUAAAUUAUAGGCUUUCAAUCUGAGGCAGAACUACACUGCAAUCCAUAUGGAAGAUGGAAAGGCCCUUGAAGACUUCUAGUAAAAGUUGUCUUCUCAUAAGGCCAAGUUCUCCAAUUAUUUAGUCUUUAAAUGCAACUAAAAAUAACCAUCUUUAAUUAUCAUAUUUAAAACUACCACCAGAAACUGGCUAGCUAGGAAUGUGUCUUAUCGGUGCUUUCCUUCUGAAGACCCUGGUUUGUCAAAAAAGAUGACCUUCCAUGUCCCAAGUUAUGGCUGCAACUGGAACGUCCCAAAGACUUCUGGAUCUAUACAGUCAACUCAGGACUUUCUCCAGAAUUCCGUGCCUGCAUUCUGAACUGCCAGCUGUUCACCACUACAGAUAUUUAAACUGCGUACACGAAGAGCUGAACUCAUCAAGUUUCCUUCACACAAAUCUUAAUGAAAGGCACCCCCACUCAUAC